rnacentral:rRNA from 1 species
AUGAUACCACGGAUAGACUUAUCGGAUCUGAGAAUAAUUACCAACCAUUUUUCGGACACCCAUAAAAUUGGAAGAGGUGGUUAUGGAGAAGUUUACAAGGCAGUUUACAAGAAGGAAGAGAUAGCAGUGAAGUUGCUUGAUUCAGCCAAAGAAAUUGACGACAAACAAUUUAUGAAUGAACUCAGUAAUCAUAUGAAGGUCCAACAUCCAAACAUUGUACGACUUGUUGGUUAUUGUAAUGAAGUGACCAGCGAAUAUAUUGAGCAAAAGGAUGGCCCUCCUGUUUUUGGUAAACACAUAUACAAAGUGCUCUGCUUCGAAUAUAUGCACGGUACCAGCCUAGACAAGCAUCUUUAUGGAAAUUCCCUGGGACAUGACUGGCCCACGCAUUACCAAAUAAUAAAAGGGACUUGUGAAGGCUUAUGUUAUCUUCACUGUGGGUGCGAGCGUCCAAUCCUCCACCUGGAUUUAAAGCCUGCCAACAUAUUACUUGACAAGCGCAAGAAUCCAAAAAUUGCGGAUUUCGGAUUGUCAAGGAUCUACACAACAAGCCGUACCCAUGUAAAAGUCAUUGGUUCAGUUUCAGGGACAACGAACUACAUGGCGCCUGAAGUAAGAAAAGAGGGCGUGGUGUCAGAUAAGGCUGAUGUCUUUAGUUUAGGUGUUACAAUCAUAGAUGUAAUUGGAGGAUCUCGCGGUUUAGAAACUUAUCACGAACAUGGCGCCAAGAAAUUUGUUGAAUAUGUAUGUACAUAUUGGAGGGAGAGGGAUAAUACAGCAGAUUUAUAUCAAGUAGAGACAUGCACCAAAAUUGCAAUAUGCUGUGUGCAUACUGACAGACACCAGAGGCCCACAAUGAAGGAGAUUAUGGUGAACUUGAAUGAUAUGGAAACUCAGGUUUUGGGCAAGGGUCUCCAUACCCUCACGGUGAAUUCCUCUGGCCGCCAUGUUCCAAACAAGCUCUCCAGUGACAAUUCAGGAAGGGGGCCACUGGACGUUGUGAUUGUGUAUGCCUUUGAUUGUACUGACUGGACCCCAGCCUGGUACACAGUGGAUAAUGGGAUCUUUUGGAUGGUGCAAGAGAAGCUGACCCACUUCCCCGAUAGUUGCAUGGGCUAUAUCUACGUCAUGUCAACUGCUAACACAUACACGUCAGACAUGAAAGUAGUUGACUCGGCGGAGACAAAGGAAACUGGCUACACAGGAUUCGCUAGGCGCAGGACGACCUGCACUAAGAACAUGGCAUCGGGCCUUGCAGAGGCGCAUAAAAUGAUCAGCAGCCGUGGGCACCACAAUGGCAUUAUCUUGUUCUUCUCUGAUGGGUUGAUGAACGAGGGUGACUUCUUUGAUGGAACCAACAACUUCAUCUCCGAAGUGCCCGUCCACACAUUUACCCUUGCCGGGGACACUUAUAACAAUGUUCUCCAAUCCAUUGCGGCAAAUUCUCCAGGAGGGAAGUUUCACACCAAGCCUGUUCCAGAAAGGCCAAAUCUAUCAACACCCUUCUCGAAGCUACUAGAUAGCCUCCUUGGGGGCACCCCGGAGGAUGUUGAGAGACCUCUUGGUUCCAUUUCAGGAAGGGAUCCACUAGAUGUGGUGAUCGUGUAUGCCUUUGACUGCACAGACUCGACCCCAGCCUGGUACACGGUGGAUAGUGGGGUCUUUUGGUUGGUGCAAGAGAAGCUCACCCACUAUGUUGACAGUUGCAUGGGUUACAUCUACGUCAUGUCGACCCCAAACACAUACACAUCGGACAUGAAAGUAGUUGACUCAGCCGAGACAAAGGAAACUGGCUACACUGGAUUCGCCAGGCGCAGGAUGACGUGCACUAAAAACAUGGCAUCAGGCCUUGUUGAGGCACAUAAAAUGGUCAGCAGCCGCGGUUACCGCAACGGCAUCAUCUUGUUCUUCUCUGAUGGAUUGAUAAACAAGGGUGACUUCUUUGAUGGAACAGAGAAAUUCGUCUCUACAGUGCCUGUUCACACAUUUACCCUUGGUGGGGACGCGUAUAACCAGGGUCUCCAAGACAUUGCGAAAAAUUCUCCAGGUGGAACUUUCACCCGCCUUCCAGUUCCUGAAAGACCGCAUCUGUCGGCGCCCUUUUCCAAACUACUGGAUAGCCUCCUCGGCGGCACCAUGGACUGA